AAUACGUAGGGGGCAAGCGUUGUCCGGAUUCAUUGGGCGUAAAGAGCGUGUAGGCGGCCAGGUAGGUCCGUUGUGAAAACUCGAGGCUCAACCUCGAGACGUCGAUGGAAACCAUCUGGCUAGAGUCCGGAAGAGGAGAGUGGAAUUCCCGGUGUAGCGGUGAAAUGCGCAGAUAUCGGGAGGAACACCCGUGGCGAAGGCGGCUCUCUGGGACGGUACUGACGCUGAGACGCGAAAGCGUGGGGAGCGAACAGGA
rnacentral:rRNA from 1 species